AUGAGGGGCUUGCUUAAGGCCAUAGAGAGAGCGAUGAAGACGGCUGACCAUGCCGUUAGGAACAAAAUACCUAGGUGGUGCCUGCAUGUAAAUCUCCUCGUACAAUUCACCAUUAAGAAAGGCAUUCUCCUCAUACAAUUCACCAUUAAGAAAGGCAUUCUUAAAAUCAAGCUGAGACACAUACCAGUGGCGAACAGAGGCCACAACAAGAAGUGGUCAUAUGGGCCACAGGAGCAGAAGUCUCGUCAUAAUCACUGUCGUGGUAUUUGCACGGCAGAUGCCAUGGGAUGGCUAAGAGAGGUGGGAGCAAGGCUACGAUGGAGAUCCGGGACUAGAUUGUGCAACAACACACGGUGA
rnacentral:rRNA from 1 species